rnacentral:rRNA from 1 species
UAAUACGGAGGGUGCAAGCGUUAAUCGGAAUUACUGGGCGUAAAGCGCACGCAGGCGGUUUGUUAAGUCAGAUGUGAAAUCCCCGGGCUCAACCUGGGAACUGCAUUUGAAACUGGCAAGCUAGAGUCUCGUAGAGGGGGGUAGAAUUCCAGGUGUAGCGGUGAAAUGCGUAGAGAUCUGGAGGAAUACCGGUGGCGAAGGCGGCCCCCUGGACAAAGACUGACGCUCAGGUGCGAAAGCGUGGGGAGCAAACAGGAUUAGAUACCCUGGUAGUCCACGCUGUAAACGAUGUCGAUUUGGAGGUUGUGCCCUUGAGGCGUGGCUUCCGGAGCUAACGCGUUAAAUCGACCGCCUGGGGAGUACGGCCGCAAGGUUA